UACGUAGGGCGCAAGCGUUGUCCGGAAUUAUUGGGCGUAAAGAGCUCGUAGGCGGCCUGUUGCGUCCGCUGUGAAAGCCCGGGGCUUAACCCCGGGUCGGCAGUGGAUACGGGCAGGCUAGAGGUAGGUAGGGGAGAAUGGAAUUCCCGGUGUAGCGGUGAAAUGCGUAGAUAUCAAGAGGAACACCAGUGGCGAAGGCGAGUCCCUGGACAACUUCUGACGCUGAGGCACGAAAGCUAGGGGAGCAAACAGG
rnacentral:rRNA from 1 species